CACCAAAAAAGAAUGCCAGUAGUCCUUUGACCACACACGUUCUGGACACUUCUGCCGGGAUUCCCGCGAGACAGCUGCCAAUCAAAGUCUUUUAUGAAGUGGUACAAAAUGGCGCCAGUACAUGGAAACUUCUUGCUUCUAAUGCAACAAAUGAUGACGGACGAGUCUCUAAUCUGCUGACUCAGCAAAACUUCUUAGCCGGUCGCUAUAGGAUUAGGUUUGAUACGGAAACCUACUCCAACUUGCGUGGUAUUACGCAAUACUUCUAUCCAUAUGUUGAGGUCUUUUUCAUUAUCAAUGACCCUUCUCAGCACUAUCAUGUACCACUACUUCUUAGCCCAUUUGGGUAUUCCACUUACCGAGGAAGCUAGGCGAUAUAUAGAGCAAUCGAUGUUGUGGAGUCAAUCAUGGCAAUAGGGCAAUAGUAACAUGAUGUGUUGCUACAGUUUUUCUUGACUCUCUUAAAUAAUGAUUUUAGCGAAA